rnacentral:rRNA from 1 species
UACGGAGGGUGCGAGCGUUGUCCGGAAUCAUUGGGCGUAAAGGGCGCGUAGGUGGCCCGGUCAGUUCGUGGUGAAAGCGCGGGGCUCAACUCCGCGUCGGCCAUGAAUACUGCUGGGCUGGAGCACUGUAGAGGCAGGCGGAAUUCCGGGUGUAGCGGUGGAAUGCGUAGAGAUCCGGAAGAACACCGGUGGCGAAGGCGAGGUGCUGGACCCCUUCUGACGCUGAGGCGCGAAAGCCAGGGGAGCGAACGGG